UCAAACACAAUUUGUUUUUGUUUUCCUCAAAGAAACUUGCACAGUGGGUCCAGAAAAGGAUGGAGAUUUUCGUUGGUUUUCAAUCUGCUUGAUUACAUACAUCACAUACGAUAACAAUUAGUGCUCCGGCUCCAGUUUUGAAGAAUCGGAUGAAACGCUGAAGAAUUUCGGUACUGCGAUAAAAUGCGCCGCGGUCGUGGGGAAAUCAGCUAAAAACUGUCUUAGCAGCAGGAACAAGACCAGACAGCAACUAGACUAUCGGAAGCUACCCCAAAAAU